rnacentral:tRNA from 1 species
GCUCUGAUAGCUUAAGUUAAAGCACCGGUCUUGUAAGCCGGAGACUGCAGCAUAACCCCUGCUCAGAGCU